rnacentral:rRNA from 1 species
AGUGGCAGACGGGUGAGUAAUGUAUAGGAAUCUACCUAGUAGUACGGAAUAAUUGUUGGAAACGGCAACUAAUACCGUAUACGCCCUACGGGGGAAAAAUUUAUUGCUAUUAGAUGAGCCUAUAUUAGAUUAGUUAGUUGGUGAGGUAAAGGCUUACCAAGACAAUGAUCUAUAGCUGAUCUGAGAGGAUGAUCAGCCACACUGGAACUGAGAUACGGUCCAGACUCCUACGGGAGGCAGCAGUGGGGAAUAUUGGACAAUGGGCGAAAGCCUGAUCCAGCCAUGCCGCAUGAGUGAAGAAGGCCUUCGGGUUGUAAAGCUCUUUUAGUGAGGAAGAUAAUGACGGUACUCACAGAAGAAGUCCUGGCUAGCUCCGUGCCAGCAGCCGCGGUAAUACGGAGAGGGCUAGCGUUAUUCGGAAUCAUUGGGCGUAAAGGGCGCGUAGGCGGGUUAGUAAGUUAAAAGUGAAAUCCCAAGGCUCAACCUUGGAACUGCUUUUAAAACUGCUAGUCUAGAGAUUGAAAGAGGAUAGAGGAAUUCCUAGUGUAGAGAUGAAAUUCGUAAAUAUUAGGAGGAACACCAGUGGCGAANGCGUCUAUCUGGUUCAAAUCUGACGCUGAGGCGCGAAGGCGUGGGGAGCAAACAGGAUUAGAUACCCUGGUAGUCCACGCUGUAAACGAUGAAUGUUAAAUAUGGGAAGUUUACUUUCUGUAUUAUAGCUNACGCGUUAAACAUUCCGCCUGGGGACUACNGUCGC